GGCCAAGGUUGAAGUCACUUCCACUACAUGGAUCAAUUUUGCUUGUAGAUCUUUUUAUAGUGAUGAGUUUCUUCAUUUAUUGUGAACAUUUGUGGUUUCCAUUCCACCAUUAAGGCUGAUUCCAGGAUAAACAUUGCAGGCAGAGUCAAAAUGAGGCCACAAAGGUUGAAAUAGUGGUCUACAAUGAGCAACUAUCUUGAAUAAUGAAUCCUCAAAGUUUCAUGAAUUUAUUUGCUCCCAAUUCAGCAAUGGAUCGGAUCUCACCCAAGAUUUAAACUAUAUAUCGCAAAAAGUAAAAAUUAUGAAUUGAGUUUUCCCUUGUGAUGUGCUUCAUUUAGUGAGACCGAUGGUAUCCAAAUCGGAAUAGCCUUCUUUGAAAAAUGUUACCAUAAAAAGUUUUGAAAAGCGUGAUGCACAACCUUAAGUUAUCAUUCUUAUCAAACAUGCACCUGCCACUCCCACUAAACUGUUGACGUCUUGCUCAAGUGACUCCACUGAAUAUAUUUAUGAAUACCGACUAGCAUAAACUAACUUAUUGCCUAAGCACAAAGCAGGUUCAAAAACAUCACAUUCAUAUUAGGUGUACUUCGUCUACUUGAGCCUACGUUUAUUUAUUAUAAUUUUGUACCAAUUUUCACUUAGAUAAGACUAAAACUACCAUAAUUUUAUCUUUGAUAGAUUAACUAUAACAAUUUUAACAUGUCUAGCUAUUAUGCUUAUCAACUCAUAAAAUAUUUUGUAUGCAACAUCAAAAUAAUUUAAUAUUUUAUGUUCGCAAGUUUAAUAUUGAUAUUUAAUGUGUUUUUAAGAGCAUUCUAAAAGAGAUAUAUAGAGAAAUUGAUGUUUUUCUAGCUCAAAAAUGUAAACUUGAAUCGUGAAAUGUGAAGAAAAUCAUACAUUGACAGCCUAUCAUUUGCAUUUGAGCAUGUUCCUACUGCUGGCAGCAAAUAAUAGGAUAAUAAUAUAUAUAUUUUAAAAUAUUGAAUGCUGGGAUUAUAAUAUUAAUCAUACUUUUAUUAUUACAGAUUGAAUCCACAAAAUAAUUGAAGAAAUGGUUUCAGAUGAUUACGAACAAGCGCAGCUAUCUUUGGAGAGGUAAUGCACCUACUGAUAUCCCGUGAUAAGAACUUGGGAGAGAUUUAGUGAAAACCUGGAGAACGGCCACUUAGCUCACAAAUCUGAGCUGUUCACAUCAAGCUGAUAUUUGUGACAGCCAUUAUAGCUUUAAUCAUUUUCUCGAUUGAUCAAAGCACCACAGACUGCAUCGUUCGUCACCUCUGCCUUUAAGCGCGUUAUCACCUACUCCAAUAAGCCACCCCAAUAUCCUUAAUAAGCAAUAGAAGUUCUUAUCGACUGUGUAUGACUCAUUAAUAUCCAUGUUCUGUAUAAAUUUAUGUGAUAGGCCUACUGGUAUUAAUGUUGAUGUACCGUAAUGUUUUUUGCUCAUGUAUAAUUGAUAAUAAUACAUUAAAAAUAAAUAUAAUGUUAAAUUAUUA